AAUUUUGUGGUGGUUUUUAAGGGUUGAAGAUGUUGUGUGAUGGUUAAUCUUCCGCGUUUUGAUAAAGACGGGAGGCAGAGAGUGUGUGGAGAAGACGAUGAAUAGUGGUGCUUGUGUGAUGAAGAAAAGUUGAACAACUUUUCUGUUUCUCUUUCUUUUUUGAGAGCGAUGAGAGAGUUAGUUGAGUGAGUGGUGUUAUUCGUAGGUAGAGAAAAGUGAACAGUGCAUUUUUAAUGAGGGAGAGUGAGUGGGAGUGGAAAGAGAGAGAAACGUGAGUCCGAGGGAGCGAGAGAGAAAAGUCAGUACUUUUUAACUUUCUUUAUUUUUUUUAUUUUUU
rnacentral:lncRNA from 1 species